CUCACAUGAAGAGAGUGAAGUGAGGAGUUUGCUGCAGUGUCUGCCUUAUAUCUCACAGCUCAGUGUUGAUCCUCUGAGGUCACGUCGUCAUAAAGCAGUCAGGAUCUUUGUGAGUCUGUUCUGUGCAGCAGCAGAGAGAGAGCAGCAGACAGGAGAGAAGAUCCUGGAGCUGUUAGCAUCAGUGUGCACAUAUCAAACAUUCCCUCUUCAUGAGAGACACAGAAAUAAGUAUUAUCAGAGUGACUUCCUGUUGGAUCUGUACUCCCAUGUGAAGGACUGUGAGACUAAAACAGGUCUGAGUGUCCUUCCAUCAUUACAGUCAGUUUUCCAGUCAGCUCCUGCAGUCUGGUCCAUAAAGCUCUCAGAGAGAAAGACCUCCAUCCUCCUGGAGGUGCUGAAACUCCAACCAGAGAAGAAACAAGUGGAGCUGAGACGCUGCUCACAUGAAGAGAGUGAAGUGAGGAGUUUGCUGCAGUGUCUGCCUUAUAUCUCACAGCUCAGGUAAAUAACAUGCUCUUCACACAAGUCGAAAAGAUGUGCUGUGAAAACAAGUGAUGGAAAUAUUUGAAACUCCAUGAAUUGUAAAGUGAUGAUUUUGACUUGUUGUUAUUUUCUAUGAAUAUCAGAUGACUUUUAAUGCUGAAACAGGACAACAGGAUCUAAAAUAAAGACGUUCUCAUCAGA